rnacentral:lncRNA from 1 species
UGCUGCUCAAUGAUGACAGUAUCAUCUACGGAGAAUAUAGAAAGAUUACCAGAAGGGCAUGAAAUAUUCGGGUUACGAGUAUUAAAUACUUUGUGUCCAACUUAAAUCGCGGUAUGUCACAAAUUGGAAAUUUCUUUCACCAGAAAAUUGUGGAUUUAUUUAAUAAUACAUUGACUUUGUGUAAGCAAAUUUGGGCUGUGAAUGAUUUCCAAAGUGCAAGAAUCGUGGAACAAAUUGGUAGAAAAAAAAAAGAGUUCAAAAAGUCG